UACGGGGGGGGCAAGCGUUGUUCGGAAUUACUGGGCGUAAAGGGCUCGUAGGUGGCCAACUAAGUCGGACGUGAAAUCCCUCAGCUUAACUGGGGAACUGCGUCCGAUACUGGAUGGCUUGAGUUUGGGAGAGGGAUGCGGAAUUCCAGGUGUAGCGGUGAAAUGCGUAGAUAUCGGAAGGAACGCCGGUGGCGAAAGCGACGGACUGGAUCUCUUCUGACGCUGAGGCGCGAAAGCCAGGGGAGCAAACGGG
rnacentral:rRNA from 1 species